rnacentral:rRNA from 1 species
AAACAUAGCCGGUAGCUAUUAAAUUAUCGGUGAUACCUGCCCAGUGAAUUUUAACGGCCGCAGUACUAUGACUGUGCAAAGGUAGCAUAAUCAUUUGGCUUUUAAUUGAAGUCUAGGAUGAAAGGAUAAACGUAUUCAAGCUGUCUCGAUUAUAAAAUCUAUUAAAGUUAUUUAUAGGGUGAAAAUACCCUAACUAAGAAAAAAAGACGAGAAGACCCUUAGAAUUUUAAGCAUAGCCGAACCUAAAAACGGCGUGAUUUUUGUUGGGGCAACAUUUUUUCAUGAAAACAAAAAAUUAAUAUUUAGACUAUAAAACGAAUAAGGUUAAUAAAGUAUAAAUUACCUAAGGGAUAACAGCAUAAUUUUAAGUAAAGAUUGUGACCUCGAUGUUGGACUAGGGACUAUUAAGGCUAGUCGUUUUAAUAUAAUAGGUUCUGUUCGAACUUUACUCCCUA